rnacentral:sRNA from 2 species
GGGAUCCGUUCGCUAUGACCAACAGGCAGGGACGGGGGAACCACCUUUUUACCGGCCUUGCGAGUCAAGGCCUAGGGGUUAAGUCCAGAAGCUCCGCCUAGCCGCGGGCAGGACCGGGUGACUCCCAUCCGAACCCGACAGCUCACCCCGCAGGCAUGGGAGAGGCAAACC